rfam:Tupaia chinensis contig109667, whole genome shotgun sequence.
UUGAAGGCGUGGAGACUGAAGUCCUCUCUAUAUCCAGAGAACAGGUAUGGCACAGGCAGCGGCAGUGCAGUUUUUCCACUGUCACACCAAUGUGCCUCAGUCUUAGCCUAGGGGGAACAUGUUCAGGGUAAGAGGGCUAUUCAGUCUCCAUGCCCUUCAAUACUUGGCUACU